rnacentral:rRNA from 1 species
CAGAGGGUGCAAGCGUUGUUCGGAAUUAUUGGGCGUAAAGCGCGUGUAGGCGGCCUAGCAAGUCGGGUGUGAAAGCCCUCAGCUUAACUGAGGAAGUGCGCCCGAAACUGCAUGGCUUGAGUACCGGAGAGGAUGGCGGAAUUCCCCAAGUAGAGGUGAAAUUCGUAGAUAUGGGGAGGAACACCGGUGGCGAAGGCGGCCAUCUGGACGGAUACUGACGCUGAGACGCGAAAGCGUGGGUAGCAAACAGGAUUAGAUACCCUGGUAGUCCACGCUGUAAACGAUGAGAACUAGGUGUCGUGGGUGUUGACCCCCGCGGUGCCGUAGCUAACGCAUUAAGUUCUCCGCCUGGGAAUUACGGCCGCAAGGCUA